GACGAACGCUGGCGGCGUGCUUAACACAUGCAAGUCGAACGGAAAGGCCCUGCUUUUGUGGGGUGCUCGAGUGGCGAACGGGUGAGUAACACGUGAGUAACCUGCCCUUGACUUUGGGAUAACUUCAGGAAACUGGGGCUAAUACCGGAUAGGAGCCCCUGCUGCAUGGUGGGGGUUGGAAAGUUUCGGCGGUUGGGGAUGGACUCGCGGCUUAUCAGCUUGUUGGUGGGGUAGUGGCUUACGAAGGCUUUGACGGGUAGCCGGCCUGAGAGGGUGACCGGCCACAUUGAGACUGAGAUACGGCGCAGACGCGUACGGGAGGCAGCAGUGGGGAAUAUUGCACAAUGGGCGGAAGCCGGAUGCAGCAACGCCGCGUGCGGGAUGACGGCCUUCGGGUUGUAAACCGCUUUCGCCUGUGACGAAGCGUGAGUGACGGUAAUGGGUAAAGAAGCACCGGCUAACUACGUG
rnacentral:rRNA from 1 species